GGAGCAGGCUUGUUCUAUCGCAACGAAAGUUGAGGAAAGUCCGGGCAACGCAGGGCGCCAUGCUUCCUAACGGGAAGUUGUCGAGAGGCAAAUGAGCGUAACAGAAAAUAACCGCCUUGCUUUCGGGCAGGGUAAGGGUGAAAAGGUGGGGUAAGAGCCUACCGUUCCUGUGGCGACACGGGAAGUAGUACGCAUCAUGGGUUGCAAGACCAUGUACACCGUUGUUUGAGGGUAGCCCGCCCGAUGACGGGGGGUAGGUCGCGUAUGACUACGGCAGCGAUGCCGCAGCAAGAUAAAUGAUAGAACCCGCGCAAGCGGCGACAGAACCCGGCUUAUAAGCCUGCUUUAUCC
rnacentral:RNase_P_RNA from 1 species